AAGCACAAUCAUAAUACUCAUAAAUAUUUAUCAACAUUAAAUUGAGAGAGGUAUCGUUCGUAAUGGCUUCAGCAUCAAAAGCCCUUGUGCUAUUCUUCACAGUGCUUAUUAUUUCUACCUCAAUCCCAUCAUCAUCAGCUACUUCAUCAUCAUCAUCAUCAUGUCCAAAGAAUACCCUCAAGUUGGAUGCAUGUGUUGAUUUGUUGAAUGGCUUGGCGAAGGUGAACCUUGGUGAACUUGUUCCCACACCAAAUCACCCAUGCUGCAGCCUUCUUGGUGAUUUGGUUAGAGUCCAAGCACGUGUCUGUCUUUGCACUUCCCUCAAACUCAACGUCUUGGAUUUGAUUAAACUCAACAUCCCAGAGCUUUCUGUCAACUUGCUCUUGAAUCAAUGCAGACCCAAGGUUCCUCGUGGCUACAAGUGCUGAUAAAUUAAUCCCACACUCAAUGAUCUCUUUUGUCAUCACCAAUUCAUCAUAUAUCUUCAACACCUUUUCAUGGUGUGUUUUGUUUAUGGGUAUUUUGCAUUAUGUUCAUUAAUAAUUCUUUUCAGUGUUGCUGAAAUUGGUUUAUUUUUUUGUUUAUUGUUUAAGGUAAUUGAAGUUCUUCAGCUUCUUCCUUAAUUAGCUACCUAUUGUUUGUUCCAUUUGCAUUUAAUUGAAAUGUAAUAUAUAGUACACAAUUGUGUGCCAAUUCAAUAUUAAUAAUAAAUUGCUGUUUUCUUUAAUUUUUUUCUGUGUCAAAGGAUUAUUAAUAUUAGCCACUUCAACACUGUUGGCAUGAAUCGAUUUACUUAACAAUCAUUCAUAUUACUCUCUCUUCAGGCGCCAAUGCAUGGAUCAGAUGGCACAAUUAUCUCUUUCUCUUGUGAGAAACAUAAAAAUCGAUGGCUCAAUUUAUCAGAAAAAUAUUCAUUAUAUGGCUAGGGUCGAGUAAUUUGGCAGAAGGUUAUCUUUCUAAAAGUAAAAUAUAAAUAAUGGACCCUUCUAUGAUGAUGUCUAAAAAUCUCAACAUCAAUAGGGAUUAAUGUGGACUAUUAGAUUAAAUCUAUUGUUUAUAAUAAGUAAACAAAACAAAUAAAAAAAUAAAAGUGAAAAGUUAACUCUUUACUGGUUAAAUAACAUAAAUUUGAUAAAGGAUAAGAAAAGAAAUCAUACUAGUUAAAUAGGAUAGAGAAAGGUUUACAACUUGAAAAGAAGAAAAAUUAAUUCAAAUACAACAACUAAAUACCAUAAAAAUCUGAUUAUUUAAUGCCUUGUAUUUUAUAUGUACAAAAUAUAAUUAAAUAUAAUUAAAUAUAAUUAAUUAUACUAUUUGUUUAUAAAAGAUAUAAAAGUUACGUAGUAUAAAUUCUUUCUUAUACACACUUGUUAAAAAGUUUCACUCAUAAACAAAUUGUAUUUUUAUCUUAUAUCACUAAAUUAUAAUUACAUUGCUUGAUUGAUAUAAAGCUUUAGUUAUGUUACAUCGUCAUGUAACAUACAUGAUUCUUCAUUCGACGGUUGCGAAAAUAACAUGAUUUAUUAUCUUAUAUUUCCACAACCAUUGGAUUUUCAUCCAACAGCUGUGGAAUAAUCAUGCAUCUUACAUGAUAAUGUAAGGUAACAAUCUCCUUUAUAUAAACCUCGUAAUGUAAUAUUGUUGAUUUUGAUAAAUUAUACGCUAGUGAAAAGUAAAAAAAAAAUUCAUAUAUAUAAUGAUUUAUCUUCAUAUAUAAUAGGAUAUAAGCUAGACUUAAAUUAAAUUAAAAUAUAAGGAAUUACUUAUAAUUUGGGUAACUGAUAACUAUCUGUUAAAGAUAAAUCAAGGGUUUGGGUGCUUCAUUUUAAAUCAAACGGUUCACGAUAAUCCCAUUAUUAAUACUAUAACUGUUUUAACACCAUCGUAGAGAAAUCCAUAAAUAAUUCUUUGUUUCAAUCUAUUUGCUAUUAUAUAUCACAUAUCUGAUUAAUUCCCGAAAUUCGUUAUUAAUUUCAUAAGAAAAAUAAACAAACUCAAAGAUCAACAAAAAGCAGUAUAAGAAUAAAAACAACUCCACAAGUCACAAUUAAUAAUAUGAAAGGUUCUGGCCACCCUAGUUCGAAUCAUGAGAAAGUGGAGGAAUAAAAAAAAAAAUUUGAAGUGUUGCCCUACUCUACUAGAUUGCUCCCUCAUUUCACUUAUGUUUGAAGACGUAGUUGAAAGAUAUAAUACCGAUCUUGUGAUCAAAGAUUUAAAUAUAUGUGCUACAAAAUUUAGCCAAAGAUUUUUCACUUCGGUCUACUUUUACAUAAUUAUUUCUAUUUCUUAUUUAUUUACAUAAAAAUUCCCUUUUCAUCCCUAAAGUUCAUUUAAGUAUCUAAUCGAACCUAAUAUUCUUAAAUAUGCCUUAAAUCUCUGUGUUGUUAUAUUUGUUAAUUACUUUAAAAAGGGCUAUCUUUUAAUUUCUUUUACAUUUCUACCCUUAAAUAUUAAAUGAAGUUUAUCCGUAGUCAAGGCUGUAAUUGUAUAGAUAUCCAUCUAAUUGGAAAAAAAAUAUAUUUUAUGUAUAUGAUUUUAUAUAUAUACAUCUAGUUGUAAUUACGUGUGCUUCCUCCCUUAUGAUCUCUCCCUAACGUGCAAAAUCUUAUGACAACGCUGCAACCAAAUGAAAUUAAUUGUUGUUUCGAUAGCAUUAUAUGCUGAUGAGGUGGCGAAAGAAUGAUUAGUUGUAGAUUUGUUGUUGAUAUCAUGUUAUUAAUUUUAGAUUGCCCCUAGGGGCUUAAUCUCACUAGUUUUUAAAUAAUCUUUAUUUUUAUUUGUAUUUCAAGUUUGAAUUUUAGAGGAGGUACAAGAUUAGAUAAUUGAUUUUGCUUGUCUUCAGUCCUCUACUUAAAGAGAAAAUGAUUCAAAAAAAUUAGUCUAAUGAUUUUUAAGUAGGCUUUUCUUGAAUAUUCAUGUGAAUUCAAAUCCUAGAAACAGGCGAUUAAAAAUUUGAUUUUCACUUUGACCACCCUCCUAAUUGUUAAAAAUCUUGAAAAAAUGUUAUUAAUUUUGGAUGGGUUUAUUACAUAUCUCCAAGUCUAUUUGGAAUUAAUUAGAAAAUUUUAAUAAUUUUUUAAUGUUGUUCAUGCUAACGACGUGAAACCAAUGAUCGGCAUAUAUAUGUAUACUAGAAAAUAGAACCGCGCUUCACGCGGCUUUGAAAAAGAAUUUAGUAUUAUCUUUUUUUCUUACUUUACACUUAAUGAAAUUGAUUAAAAAAUAUGAAUUGAUUUUUUUUUAAGAUGAUGCAGCCUUAUAAAAAACAAAAAAAGUUAUUAGCCAGCAAUAAAGAAGCAACGCAAGAUAAAGAAUAAAAUGAGAGAAUAUAUUAUAGAGUGAUUUUAUUCAUUCCAAUUGUGUGUGUACAAAACAAAAAGAUGAGUUCUCCUUUUAUAGUUACAUAAUCACUCCAUGAAAUUAAUGAAAAAUUAUGGAUCAUAAUUCCUUGUGAGAUAGUGGGAGUUAGAGGGAAGCUAAAAGUUGCUAAUGGGAGAUCAUUGGGAGACUAAGAGAUAUAUGUUAUGAACAUCUACAUUUAUUUUAAUAAAUUCAUAACACUCCCUCUUGGAUGUUCAUUACAAAGAAUAUGCCUCAUUAAAAUCUUUACAUAAUUGUUAUUGUGUAAUAGCAAUCAAAUUAAUUAUGAGAAGAUGAAAAUCCAAAUCUAAAACAAAAUUUCUCUAUUUAUUAGAUAAUAGAGAAUAUACAAAGAUGAGAAAUGGUGAUGCCACAUCACCUCCUCAAGUCCCAGCUAUAUAUAUAUAUAUAGAUAUAAAGAUAUAUAGAUAUAUAUAGAUAUAUAGAUAUAUAGAUAUAGAUUGUUUGGAAAUUAAAAACUAAUAAAAGCCAAAUAGAUAGCCUAUAAAUGCCCAACACUCUUCACCAUUAUUUUCAUCACAUCUCAAUACGCACGAUCAAUAAUACUCACAAAUAUUAUUCAACAUUAAAUUGAGAGAGAUAUCAUUCGAAAUGGCUUCAGCAUCAAAAGCCCUUGUGCUAUUCCUCACAUUGCUUAUUAUUACUACCUCAAUCCCGUUAUCAUCGGCUACAUCAUCAUCAUCAUCAUCAUCAUCAUCAUCAUCAUGAUGUCCAAAGAAUACCCUCAAAUUGGAUGCAUGUGUUGAUUUGUUGAAUGGCUUGGCGAAGGUGAACCUUGGCGAACUUGUUCCCACUCCAAAUCAACACAUACAUCCAACUUGAUUAUUUUUACUCAUGUUUGAUGAUGUAAUUGAAAAAUAUAAUACCGGUCUAGUGGUCAAAGAUUUAAAUCUAUGUGCUACAAAAUUUAGCCAAAGAUUUUCACUUACAGUCUACUUUACUUCCAUGUCUUAUUUAUUUAGCUGAAAACUCCCUUUUCUUAUCUAAGAUUUAUUUAAUUACCUAAUUGGUCCUCGGAUAGUUGUAUUCUUAAAUAUGCCUUAAAAGACUAUGCUGUUACUUUUGUUCAUUUAGCCAAAGCCAUUUUUAACUUCUUUUACAUUUUUAUCAUUGAAAUGUUAAGUAAAGUUUAUCCUAAAUCAAAGAAGUAAUUAUACAAAUAUCCUUCUAAUUCAAAAAAUAAUAUUGUACGUGAUUUUAUAUAAAUAUCCAUCUAGUUGUAAACUUGUAAUACAUGUGCUUCCUCUCUUCCAAGAUCUCUUCCGAACGUGCAAGAUCUUAUUACAGCUCUGCAACCAAAUCAAAUUAAUAGUUGUUUCGAUAACCUCAUAUGCUGGUGAGGUGGCCGAAGAAUGAUUACUUAUAGAUUUCUUAACAAUACAUUGGAUGUCAUGUUAUUAAAUUUUAUGUUAUCAAACUUUUUUUUUUUUUAUUAGCAAUCGAAGUUUGAAUAUUAAACAAAGAUAAAUGGUUAAAAAUUUGAUUUAGGUUGUAUAUAUACCUUUAUCUUAAAAAGAAAAAAAAAAAAAGCCUUUACGAAUUCGACCGAAUGGCUUCAAGCAAGCUUAUUUUUACUAAUCAUCUGAAUUCGAAUUCUAGAGAUAAGAGACUAAAAAAUUAUCUGAAACUCUACCCAUUCUCCACUCCUAAAAGAAAAAUGUUAUCAAUUUUAUAUGGGAAUAUUAUUGCAUUAUCUCCAAAUCUAGUUGGAACUAAUUAGAAAUUUUAUUAGUAAUUGUUUUAUGCUAUUCGUGCCAGCGACGUGAAAGCGAUGAUCUAUAUACGUACGUGUAAAUGGUGUGGAAAUUAAAAAAAUUUAAAAGCCAAAUGGAUAGCCUAUAAAAACCCAAAACUCUUCACCAUUAUUUUCAUCACAUCUCAAUAAGCACAAUCAAUAAUACUCACAAAUAUUAUUCAACAUUAAAUUGAGAGAGAUAUCAUUCGAAAUGGCGUCAGCAUCGAAAGCUCUUGUACUAUUCUUCACAGUGCUUAUUAUUGCUACCUCAAUCCCAUCAUCAUCAGCUACAUCAUCAUCAUCAUCAUCAUCAUCAUCAUCGUCGUCAUCAUCAUCUUCAUCAUGUCCAAAGAAUACCCUCAAGUUGGAUGCAUGCGUUGAUUUGUUGAAUGGCUUGGCAAAAGUGAACCUUGGCGAACUUGUUCCCACUCCAAACCAUCCAUGCUGCAGCCUCCUUGGUGAUUUGGUUAGAGUCCAAGCACGUGUCUGUCUUUGCACUUCCCUCAAACUCAACGUCUUGGAUUUGAUCAAACUCGACAUCCCCAAGCUUUCUGUCAACUUGCUCUUGAAUCAGUGCAGGCCCAAGGUUCCUCGCGGCUACAAGUGCUGAUAAAUUGAUCAUAUUGAAUUAUCUCUUUAUUAAUCAUCAUAUCUUCAAGAUAUUUUCAUGGUGUGUUUUGUUUUUGUGUAUUCGAUGCAUUAUUUAUUGAUUUAUUUUUUUAGGAAUUGAAGCUCUCCUGCUUCUUCCUUAUCUACUUAUUUGUUACAUUUGCAUGUAAUUGAAAUGUAAUAGUACAUGUAUAAUUGUGUGCUAUUUCAAUUGAUCUUAAUAAAUUGAAGUAUCCUUUAUUUUUUAUUUUUAAAUUUCUCUAAGGAUUAAUAUUUGUCUCUUCAACUCUGUUGACUCAGAUCAUUGGUUACUCGGUUGAAUAAAUCGAUUACUUAACGAUCACUCAUAUUAUUAUUACUCUCUCUUCAAAUGAUUGUAUAUUGAUAAGAGGUCGCAAUUAUCUUUUUCUGUUGUGAGAAAUAUAAAAAUUCAUUGCUCUAUGUCCCUCAAAAUUGAGAAAAAUAGUAAUUACAUCUAAUUAAUGUUAAUUUAUCUUUAAUUUCAUAAGAAAAGUAUAAAAGAUGUCAUGGACGUAAGAUCUAUUUUAUUUUUAUUUUUAAUAUUUCUUUAAAGCUAGAAGGGGUGAGUAAAUCCUAAAUAAAUUUUUAACCAUCUACCUUCCCAAGAUUCAAAAUCCAGUAGCUAGCCAAAUAACGUUGGACGAGAACCACUCAGUCAGGGCCUCUUCAGGCCAUAAGUGAUAAGACAAUGAUGCAAGUAAUAUGACUAAUAAGAAUUCUAUUAGAUAUGAUAAAUACCACUGCAUUGGAGUUUAAACUCUUUUGUCUCUCUCUACAACUGUUUUUCUACUUGAUCUUGGGUUUUUAAUCUUUGCUUCGUUUUUAUAUUUUGCAAAACUUCUAUUAACUCAAGCUUUCUUUCAAUUUAUUUAUUCUAUUUCUUAGUUAUUAUUAUAUUCAAUAUGCAUAAUGUAAUGCGCUCUAUGAAACUUCAGCAAUUAGGUUUCCGUAAAAAUAAAGUUAAUUUGGAAAGGUCUCUUUAGAAAGUUGGGAAGAUUACAAAUCUAUUUUGAGAUUUAUUGGUAGUAAGAUUUAUAAGACUUAUUGUUGUUGCGACAUAAGCUAAACAACAAUGAGCCGGGCGUUAAAAAAAAAAAAAGAGUUUUAAAUGAGAUAGUAUUUCAGUUAAGACAGAAAAAGAAAAGAAAAAAUCCACUAUAGCAAGUUAACAAUGGAGGAUUUGGUUGUAAAAUCAUGACAGAAGACAAAAUAGAAAUUAGAGCUAGAAUUCACUAAUAACUAUAGAGAUGAUAACUGUACAUUAUGUAUAUCCUGACUUUUGACUUUAUUGAAAAAAAGAUAAAAUUUUGAAUUUUGAAUUUUGAUAAUGGGUUUAUUAAGUAAACGAGUUUACUGAAUAUUAUGAUAGGUUUAACGAGCCUCACCCUUAGUUAUUAUAUUUAUUUUAACCAAAAUAACUGUUAACCCCCACCUUUUUUUUUUUUUUUUUUACAAAGACAAAUUAGUGGUUUUUACCAUCACCUUUCUAUCCUUGAUCUUUUCCAAUUCCAUCUGCUGUUCUUUGUGCUCAACAUUAAUAUAGCUGCUCCCAAAACAACCAAUAAAUCUUGGGAGGAAGCACAUGUUUAUAUAAAUAGAUUAAAAAUGUAGGUUUCUCCCUUAGGAGCAAAAAAUAAAAGCUGAGCCUAAAAGCUUACCGCUUUGCUCCCCUUGAGGCAAGGAAGUGCACGUGUUACAAUUAGAUUUUAUAACUUUUAACUUAAAUAAAGGAUAAAAAAUGCUUGUUGUUGCCCUUUUUUUUUUUACCGCUCAUGGUGACCAUUGUAGUCAUGUUUGAUGAUUGGAAGAUAUAGAAUCGGUCUUUUGGUCAAAGAUUUAAACUAAGUGCUACAAAUUUAACCAGAUACUUUACUGAAAAGAAUUUAUUUUUGAACUAAGUUUUGCUGGUUAUUAAAUCAAUGAUUGUUUGAUGAUAUAAAUGAAAAAAAUAAAAAAUAAAUAAUAAAUAAAUCCUAAGCACUGAUUAACUCUUUAUUAAAAGCUCAACUCAUCACUUAAUUCAAUCCAUACUUUACACUUAAAAGUCUACAUUAAUUCUACUUCUUGUUUAUUAUUUAUAUUUGCGGCAAAACCUCGUUUUCGUCCCUAAAGGUCCAUUUGAUUACUUAAUUUGUCCUUGUGUGGUUGUAUUGUUAAAUAUGUCUUAAAAGACUGUGUUGUUAGUUUUGUAAACGUUAAAAAAUAGCCAUUUUUAACUUCUUUUACAUGUUUAUCCUUGAAAUGUUAACUUAAGUUUAUCCAAAAUCAAAGAUGUAAUUAUACAAAUAUCCGUCUAAGUCAAAAGAUAAUAUUGUAUAUGAUUUAAUAUAAGGAAAAUUAUUACUACACCACCUCUUUUUUGCCUUAUGUUCAUCCAACCACCAAAAAAUUCUAACAUGUUCUCUGCACUAUUUUUUUUUUUAAAUUUGUAUCAACUAGUCACUUUUUAACUAACACCGUUAAAUAAUUUAAAUGAAAUGAUAAUUUUACCCCUAAAUAAAUUAAAAGACCAUUUUAUUUUACAAAAACUUUGAAAAAUAAGAAAAUUACAAUUAUAAAAAUACCCCUAAAUUUAAUAAAAAUAAAUAACAAACAAAGGUGCUUAGCUGAUUUUUAUUUAAUUUAGAUUUUGCAAAAUUUUACUAAUUAUUUUUAUUAAAAAAAUAUAAUUUUGUAAAAUUUUAAUAAAAAUGACUGAAUUUAUUUAUUAAAAAUUAUAAUUUUGCAAAAUUUUAUUAAAAUAACUGAAUUUAUUUAUUAAAAAAUAAAUCCCAAAAUUUUAAUAAUUUAGGGGAUUUUUAUUAAAUCCCAAAAUUUUGUAAUUAUUUUUAUAAUUAUAAUUUUUAUUUAUAUUUUUAUUAAAAAUAAAAAUUCUAAUUUUGGGAUUUAGUUUUAUUAAACUUAGGGUUAUUUUUAUAAUUAUAAUUUUCUUAUUUUUCAAAGUUUUUGUAAAAUAAAAUGGUAUUUUAAUUUAUUUAGGGGUAAAAUAUCAUUUCAUUUAAAUUGUUUAACGGUGUUAGUUAAAAAGUGGCUAGUUGAUACAAAUUUAAAAAAAAAGGUGGUGCAGAGAAUAUGUUAGAAUUUUUUGAUGGUUGGAUGAACAUAAAAGAAAAAAGAGAUGGUGCAGUGAUAAUUUCCCUUAAUAUAAAUAUCCAUCUAGUUGUAAGCUAGUUGUAAGUUUGUAAUAACAUGUGCUUUUCCUCACCGCCAAGAUCUCUCCCGAACGUGCAAAAUCUUAUUACAGCUCUGCAACCAAAACAAAUUAAUAAUUGUUUCGAUUAGUUGUAGAUUUCUUGAUUAUGGAUUUUCACGUUAUUAAUUUUUAGUUGCCCCGAGGAAUUGACAGAGUGAUUUUUCAAAGAUUUUCUUUUCAUUAGCAACCCAAGUUUGGAUAUUAAAAAAGGUACAGGAUUACAAAAUUGAUUUGAAUUUUGUGUAUUCCUUAGACAUUAAAAAACAAAAAGGCUUUUAGAGAUUUGACAAAUUAGCUUUCAAGCAGGUUUUUUCCCCUUACUCGUCAUCUAAGUUCAAAUCUUAGAAAAAAAGAAAUUAAAAGAUUGAUUUAGACUUUAUCCACCCUCUUCUCAUAAAUAAAAAAUGUUAUAAAUUUUAGAUGGAAAUAUUAUUACAUUAUCUCCAAAUCUAGUUGGACUUAAUUAGAAAUUUUAUUAGAAAUUGUUUUAUACUAUUCAUGCCAGCGACGUGAAAGCAAUGAUCGAUAUAUAUGUAAAUGGUAUGUAAAUUAAAAAUUUAAAACGGCCAAAUAGAUAGUCUAUAAAAACCCAACACUCUUCGCCAUUAUUUUCACCACACCUCAAUAAGCACAAUCAAUAAUACUAACAAAUAUUAUUCAACAUUAAAUUGAGAGAGAGAUCAUUCGAAAUGGCUUCAGCAUCAAAAGCCCUUGUGCUAUUCUUCACAGAGCUUAUUAUUGCUACCUCAAUCCCAUCAUCAUCAGCUACUUCAUCAUCAUCAUCAUCAUGUCCAAAGAAUACCCUCAAGUUGGAUGCAUGUGUUGAUUUGUUGAAUGGCUUGGCGAAGGUGAACCUUGGUGAAUUUGUUCCCACACCAAAUCACCCAUGCUGCAGCCUUCUUGGUGAUUUGGUUAGAGUCCAAGCACGUGUCUGUCUUUGCACUUCCCUCAAACUCAACGUCUUGGAUUUGAUUAAACUCAACAUCCCAAAGCUUUCUGUCAACUUGCUCUUCAAUCAAUGCAGACCCAAGGUUCCUCGUGGCUACAAGUGCUGAUAAAUUAAUCCCACACUCAAUGAUCUCUUUUGUCAUAGAGAGAUAGAAAGAUAGAAAGUCAUUGGGUCACUCCUAUUGCAAGGAAACACAUGUUAAAACUACAUGGAUAAAGAUGUUUAUUAUUGCAAAUUUUUUUAGGGCUCGUGGUGAUUAUUCUACUCAUGUUUGAUGAUGUAAAUAUGCUACAAAUUUAGCCAAUUUUUCACUUUACUGUCUACUUUACUUCCUCUAUUAUUUACAUCCCUAAGGUUCGGUUUAAGAACCCACACGCUUCAUCAUUUCCACGAGCUGUAACAAUAUUGUAGUAUUAAACAUCGAUCGAUCUUUGAAUCUACAAGAAGAAUAGCAUCUUCGAUUUUUUAUUUUUUUAUAUUAAUUAAUAUAUAUUCAUGUCGUUGCAACAUGUGCUUCCUCUGCCAUCAUCUCUCCUCAACGUGCAAAAUCUCAUUACAGCGCUGCAACUAAAUGAAAUUAAUUGUUGUUUCGAUAACGUAAUAUGCUGGUGAGGUGGCGAAAGAAUGCUUAGUUGUAGAUUUCUUAAUUAUCGAUAUUAUGCUAUUCAUUUAUAUUGCCAUUAGGGGUUUGACCAGGGGGUGUUUAAAGUUAGUCAUCUGAGAGUUUGAAUCUUAAAAGAGGUAGAGAACUUAAAAAUUAAUUUGGGUUGUACUUAUCUCUCUACCUUAAAUAAAAAAAUAAAUAAAUAAUAGCUCACAGUUAUUCGAUUAAGUGGUUCUCAAUUAGGUUUUCUUUAAUUGAUCAUCUGAAUCUCAAUUUUAAAGAAAUAAGAGAUUAAAAAAUUAAUUUGAGCAUUGCUAAUCCUCAAAUCUCUAUAAAACAAUAUUAUUAAUUUUUUCAUGGGAUUAUUACACAUCUCUAAAAUCUAGUUGGAUUUAAUUAGAAAUUUUAUUUGUAAUUGUUUUAUCCUAUGCUAGCGACGUGAAAGCAAUGAUCGACAUAAUGUAUGGAAAUUUAAAAUUUAAAAAGACCAAGUAGAUAGCCUAUAAAAACCCAACACUCUUCACCAUUAUUUUCAUCACAUCUCGAUAAGCACAAUCAUAAUACUCAUAAAUAUUUAUCAACAUUAAAUUGAGAGAGGUAUCGUUCGAAAUGGCUUCAGCAUCAAAAGCCCUUGUGCUAUUCUUCACACUGCUUAUUAUUGCUACCUCAAUCCCAUCAUCAUCAUCUACUUCAUCAUCAUCAUCAUCAUCAUGUCCAAAGAAUACCCUCAAGUUGGAUGCAUGUGUUGAUUUGUUGAAUGGCUUGGCGAAGGUGAACCUUGGUGAACUUGUUCCCACACCAAAUCACCCAUGCUGCAGCCUUCUUGGUGAUUUGGUUAGAGUCCAAGCACGUGUCUGUCUUUGCACUUCCCUCAAACUCAACGUCUUGGAUUUGAUUAAACUCAACAUCCCAGAGCUUUCUGUCAACUUGCUCUUGAAUCAGUGCAGGCCCAAGGUUCCUCGCGGCUACAAAUGCUGAAAAAUUAAUCCCACUAAAUAAUUUCUUUUUAAAUUAAUCCUCAUCUUCAAGACCUUUUCAUCGUGUGUUUUUUCUUUGGAUAUUUAGUGCAUUAUUUAUUUAUUUAUUUAUUUUUAAGGAAUUGAAGCUUUUCUGCUUCUUCCUUAUAUACUUCGAAUUAUUGGUUCCAUUACCAUGUAAUUUGAAAUAUGUACACACAGUAGUGUACGUGCUGUUUCAAUAUUAAUAAAUUGCAGUUUUCUUCAUUUUCUUCUUUGUCAGAGGAUUAAUAUUGGCCUCUACUCUCUUCAACUGUUCAACACGGUUGAUUCAGAGCAUUAUUAACUUGGUUGGCAUAAAUCUAUUACUCAAUGAUUGUUCGUAUUACUCUCUCUUCAAGCGAAAAAAUAUCCAUAAGAUGGCACAAUUAUCUUUUUCUCUUGUAAUUAAGAAAUAUAAAAAUUCGUGGUUCAUCUCAUGAGCUCUAUCUAUCAGAAAACAUUCCUUACACGGCUGUAAUCGAGUAAUUUGACAGAAGAUUACUUUCGACAAGUAAAAUAUAAAUGAUUCUUCGAUUCAAUCUAAAUUACUACUACUAUUGAGUAGAACUAUUGGCACCCUUCCAAAAUCCUCUUAAAACUCCUUUUUUAAUUAUGCUUCACUUAAUACCAAAAAUACCCAUUUUUCUACAUAAACACUCUUUUCAUUCGAGGUAGUCUAGUCAUGCCAAAAAAAUAAAGGUUCUGCUAUUCAGAGACCUUGCACUCGCACGCUCACAGCUGUUCGUGAUGCCAUGCCUGAAGAUGUUGUUUAUCCAGCUGAGAUUGUGGGAAAACACUUUAAAUAUCGUCUCGAUGGAUCCAAGAUAAUCAAGAUUUUCUUGGAUCACGGGAAGAAGAACAACACUGAGUACAAGCUGGAUACAGAAAGCAUACUAGGAAAGACAUGUUUUCCAGUUAUCCAAUUACAAAAGCCUAAAGAGUUGUUGCAGAUGGUCAAUUCCAUUGUUGUUCUAUUGCAGCACUACAAUUACUUUGAAUAGGAUACUAUUUAAUAUUUUUCCUCUUAAAUUUAGUAUGUCUUGUGGCAUAGGACGGAUGAAAUUUAUAGAAAUUUCAUUUUUUUUUAAGUUUUUUGUAAUUGCAGAGAAUUGUUGUGCUGAAGAACCUCAUGCCUUUGCGUUGAAGUGAAAGAUAUUUGAACUUUCAGAACAACAAGAAAAGGUAAAAAGAUUGAAUUUUAUUUGUAUAUCUAGUAUUAAUAUAUUUAGUAUUAUAUAUAUCUAGUAUUAAUUUUAUUUUAUAUAUCUAGAAAAAAAAAUAUCUAGUAUUAAUUGUAUUUGUAUUGUCCUUAAUUAUAAUUAUAAUAAAAUAGAUGUUUUAUAUGAUUAAUGAAGGGGUGCCAGUAGUCAAACUUUUUACUAUUAUACAUCGCAUCUCUAAUUAAUUCUCCAGAUUCAUUAUUAAUUUCAUAAGAAAAGUAAACAAACACAAAAUCCAACAGAAAGCAAUAUAAGAAUACAAACACCACUCCAACAGAAAGCAAUAUAAUCCUCCCUAUGGUGUUAAGGUAUGGUUGCGUAAUGAUUGUUUAGGGAUUGCUUUCCCUCGUUUUGUUAAGCCUUAGCUUGUGUUAGGCUCGUUUCUCUUACCAAAAAAAAAAAAAAAAAAAAAAGAAUACAAACACACUGCAACUUACAAGAAUAUAAAAGGUUACGGCCAUCCAAGUUCGAGCUAGGGAUGGCAAUGGUAAUUUUGUGGAUAAUUAAAAUUACCAAAAGUUAAAAUUCACGUGUUGUUGGUAAUUUUGUGGGUUCGGGGCAGGUUUAGUAUUAUAAAUUGAAACCCGCACUAGGUUGUGAGUGGAUUUGGUAUUAGUCAAAUAUCCAACAGAUAGCCGCAUGGGUAUAUACCAACCAACAACUUUUUUUUAAUUAUUUUUAAUUGAAAAAAUAUUUAAAUCUAAAAAUAUAUAAAGUAAAAAAUGUAAAGUGUAAACAUAUAUGUAAGUUGCAAUGUGCCUAACAACCUAAACCCUAAUUAAAGUCAUAACCUAAACUAAAGGAAAUCCAAACUAAAGGGAAAUCACCCUUGAGCCGCACACAUGUGAUCUCUCAGUAUGUAGUGUUAUAUAUUACAAACUUAUAAUCAUCUAUCUUUUUUCAUGAUAAACUUGUAAAUGCAAAUUCUUCUAAUAAAGCAGAAAAUAGCAAAUUCUCUGAAGACGAAGAUAUUUUUAAUGAGGUAAAGAACUAAGUUUUUUUAACUUAAUGCAUGGAUUAUUAUAUACUUAUUAUAAUUUCAUAUGGAGUAUUAUUCUUUUACUUAAUCUAUGGAUCAUUUCAUUAUUAUAAUCUUGUUCUUCGGAUUAGUAUUUAAAAAGUAUAAUUUUUAAAAAAAUAUUAAUCUUAAUCAUUAUUGUAAGAAUCGUGUUGGAUGGGUGCUAAUAGUGUGAAUGAAGUAUCUUCUCUUGGAGCUUGUGUUGAAUGAUAAUAUGAAAUGAUAAUUAUUAUUUUUAGAUACUAGUUUGUGGCUUUUUUUUUAUGGAUUUGUAUAUUUUAUACUUAAAUUUGAGAAUUUGUGCUGGAUUGAUGUUGAAAUUUUAAUUUUCCAUUUACAUUAGUUAAAUUUAGAAUUGAGUUUGUUAUGUCAAAUUUUAGGUUAUUAUUAUUAAUUUAUAUAUUGAACAUUUGUAAUUUUAAAUGUGGAAACUCUCAAAAAAUCUGUUGGAUAUCAUUGUAGGUUUGGUAAUUGUCAAAACCUGAUAAAACCCAUAGCAGGUUGUGGGUGGGGGUGGGUUUGUUAAUUUAAAUUUUAUGCAGGUGCGGGUUUGGUAAUGGCAAACCCGUUAUGGGUAGUACUCUUUUUCAUCCUUAGUUCGAGUCUUGGGGGAGCUCGAGGAAUAAAAAGAUAAUUUGAGCUUGCCACCAUCCUUUACUAGAUUCUCUAGAAAAAAUAGUGAAACCCCUAUUAUGUGAAUAAAUUAAUCGAAAACCCUUGACAGUUUAAAAUACAUCCGAAAAGAGUGAAACCCCUAUUGUUUGACUAAAUUAAUCGAAAUCUCCUUGAUAUUUUAAAAUACAUCCAAACCCCCUCGAAUAUGUUUUAAAACAUUAGCAAAAAAAAGUUGACACUCAAUAAGGUUUGGAUGUAUUUUAAAACAGCAGAAGAGUUUCGAUUAGUUUAGUCAAACGAUAGAGUGGGUUUUGCUCUUUUUCCAUUGAGGCAAGGAAGUACAUGUUACAACUAGAUUUAUAAAAUAUUUACUUGAAUGUAAGAUCAAAGAUGUUUUAUUAUAGCAAUAUUUUUUUCCCCUGGUCAUGUUGAUUAUUUUUACUCAUGUUUGAUGAUGUAAUUGAAAAAUAAAAUACCGGUCUAGUGGUCAAAGAUUUAAAUCUAUGUGCUACAAAAUUUGGCCAAAGAUUUUCACUUACAGUCUACUUUACUUCCAUGUCUUAUUUAUUUAGCUGGAAACUCCCUUUUCAUAUCUAAGAUUUAUUUAAUUACCUAAUUGGUCCUCGGAUAGUUGUAUUCUUAAAUAUGCCUUAAAAGACUAUGUUGUUACUUUUGUUCAUUUAGCCAAAGCCAUUUUUAACUUCUUUUACAUUUUUAUCAUUGAAAUGUUAAGUAAAGUUUACCCUAAAUCAAAGAAGUAAUUAUACAAAUAUCCUUCUAAUUCAAAAAAUAAUAUUGUACGUGAUUUUAUAUAAAUAUCCAUCUAGUUGUAAACUUGUAAUACAUGUGCUUCCUCUCCGCCGAGAUCUCUUCCGAACGUGCAAUAUCUCAUUACAGCUCUGCAACCAAAUCAAAUUAAUGGUUGUUUCAAUAACCUUAUAUGCUGGUGAGGUGGCCAAAGAAAUGACUACUUGUAGAUUUCUUAACUAUACAUUGGACGUCAUGUUAUUAAAUUUCAGUUGCUUAAUUGAGGACUUGAAAAAGUGAUUUUCAAACCUUUUUUUUUUUUUUUUUUGUAUUAGCAAUCCGAGUUUGAUCAUUAAAAGAAGAUAAAUGGUUAAAAAAAUGAUUUAGGUUGUAUGUACGCCUCUAUCUUCAAAAUAAAUAAAUAAAUAAAUAAAAGUCUUUAAGAAUUGAACCGAAUGGCUUUCAAGCAAGUUUAUUUUUACUGGUCAUCUGAAUUCGAAUCCUAAAGUUAAGAGACUAAAAAAUUAUUUUAGACUUUGUUCGUCCUCCACUUUUUUUUUUAAAGAAUGUUAUUAAUUUUAGAUGGAAAUAGUAUUGCAUUAUCUCCAAAUCUAGUUGGAAUUAAUUAAAAAUCUUAUUAGUAAUUGUUUUAUGCUAUUCGUGCCAGCAACGUGAAAGCAAUGAUCCAUAAUUCCAUAUACGUGCAUGUAAAUGGUGUGGAAAUUAAAAAAAAUUUAAAAGCCAAAUGGAUAGCCUAUAAAAACCCAAAACUCUUCACCAUUAUUUUCAUCACAUCUCAAUAAGCACAAUCAAUAAUACUCAUAAAUAUUAUUCAACAUUAAAUUGAGAGAGAUAUCAUUCGAAAUGGCGUCAGCAUCGAAAGCUCUUGUACUAUUCUUCACAGUGCUUAUUAUUGCUACCUCAAUCCCAUCAUCAUCAGCUACUUCAUCAUCAUCAUCAUCAUCAUCAUCGUCAUCGUCAUCAUGUCCAAAGAAUACCCUCAAGUUGGAUGCAUGUGUUGAUUUGCUGAAUGGUUUGGCAAAGGUGAACCUUGG
rnacentral:lncRNA from 1 species